CACCUGAAAUCUACUCUCCUAGCAGUACAGUACUAACUAUAGUCAUCAUGCUGUACUUUAGAUCUCCAGAUUUAUUCAUUCUACAUAACUGCAACCUUGGGGCGGGGAGUUGGGAAAAAUCGGAAGAUGAACUGGCUAAUCCUAACGUUGCAUAUGGUUUGCAUCUUGGCCCUAGCAUACUACAGAACAAAGAAUUAGAACGCCUACAUUCUAAAAUGUUAAAAAUAUGAGAUACUGGAAAAAGGAGGGUUGAUUAUUUUAGUUAUUCUUAAUCCUCAUGCAACAUUAAUAAAGUUGUACCUAUAUGACAUUAAAUUUUCAUAAGAAAAUUAAAAGUCUGAUAAUUGCUCCGAUUUCAAUAGUUUCUGAUGCAUAGACUCCCCAAAUCACAUUUUUGAUUCCAGUUUUUCUUUUAGUCUAGUUCUUUAAUUUCAGAAAGACAGAACUUAAGAGAAAAUUCGCAUUUUCUUAAGCCCUUCAAACAUAAUCUACCUCAUUUUUUUCCUGAAGUGAUGGGGAAAUUAUUGUUUAUUUUUAUUUUCAGUUUAAUGUUCAGACCAAAGAUUCCUGGUUUCCAGGCAAUGAGAGCUCUUUAACAGGAUUCAACGUAUCCAAAGUUCCUGUAGGUUUAUCCGGACAAAUGAUCAGGCUUACAAGGCGUAGAGUGGCCAAUUUCAGAGCCUUCUGGAGAAAAUGCACAACUGAUACCAAAUUUUUAGUAUCACCAUCACUUGUCUUGAGUAUGCGACUUUCUGUAUCACCCAGGUGCUCCACCAGUUUUAUCUUCUUGAUUAUGAUGGAGACACUUGUUCUGAAAUGCUUGGGAGAUGAGGCUAGCUGGGAAGAAGUCUGUAAAAAUUAGGUCACACUUUUUCCUUUUCUCCUCCUCUUCUUCCCCAUAUCCAGAUGGUUGGCAAGAGAGCUGAGCUGCAAGCAGUGUAUGCAAAUAAGACAUUUUGUUGUCUAUUUCUGAAAGGACAGUUAAUUUGUAAAAUGCCUGUUAGUUUCUUCUGUGGAAUCACGUAACCAGUAAAUGAAAGUGUACCAUGUGACAGAAACUUAACUCAUGACAUUCCUGGAGGAAAAUCUUUCUUUUAGGAAUUCAUCUGCCUAUAAAUUCGGCAAGCGUCUAGAGUUAAUUGCCCCCAUAUUCUCUUAUAAAAAAACUUGCUCAGUUCUCAGAUAACCUGAAUUUUCUCUCAUUUAAGUGUUGUCACCAAAAUCAUACAACUGUCAAUCUUUUGCAAAUGUAGGAAAGGGGAGAACCUAUUCUACUCUGAUGCAGAAGAGAGAGGGCACAGGUUCCUCGGGUAGAUGUGCCUAGGACCAAGAGAAAGGAGCGACGAAGGGACAAGGAGAAAAAUGGUCUAGGGAAAAGUGAAAGGGACAGAGGAGACUGGGAUAUAAGGACUGGAGAAGGGAGGAAAGGAUGUGAGAGCAAGUCAGAGAGAUGGACAAGAGGAGGGAAAAUAAGGAAAAGGAUAGAAAGAAUAAAGGACUGAGAAGGAGGAGGGGAACGCAAAGUCUUUUCUAAUACUCACCAGAGGAGUAAAGAACGAGAGAGAACUAGAUACAUUUAUAAAAUCCUAAAGCCAACAACUCAAGGUGUUUCCUUGAGACUCUUGUCUAAUGACUGCAUUGAUUAACUGGGUGAUGCUAAGAGGUACCCAUGACAAACAACUGCCAACACAGGGAGCAGUAAUCCUCAGCCCAGAUCUAAGCUAGGCAACGGUGCACAAGAACCUGAUACCAGCAACAGAACGCCUUUGCUCUGAAUCUAUUUCCCAACUUAGAUACAGCAUCUGAGUCUUUUACAUUUUGCUUAUCUUUCAUCACUCUUCAAUGCUAUGCACUGAAACCUUCCACUGACUGCGAAAAGCUCUGCUCUGAGCAUAAACACAAUUACCUUGGCCUCAUUUCCUUAUCUUUAAUCAAAGUCCUUUCUUGCAACAUUCAUUUGGCCCUGGAUGCUCCAUUCUAGCUACUCAGAGCAAAAUAUCCUAAAGAAGAAAGAGUACUGUAUGCAAAACUUUGAUAGAGGAUAAGAAGAAGAGAAUGUAACUUUCCUCCAAACCAAAGCUAGGGCUUUAAAGGGAGUUUUCCUUUAGGAGAGUUUACAUCCUAGUUAAAUCCUCCUUCCAGGGUCAGCCUCCAAUAUAUUCCACAUGUCCCAUCUAACCACAGCUCAUAUAGAAUCAAAGAAUUUCCAGAUGAGAAGGGGAUUCCCAGAUCAAGUCAAGACUCUUGUCUGAUGCUUGAGCUUAUUCUACAAUCUGAAAAGAUCUUCAGUGCCUGCCAGAACUCUUUUUGUGCUGGGGUUCUCCAUAAAACACAUGGAGGUCACUCCCUUUGCACACAGCUCGAAUUCCUAUUUUGAACCGAAGCCUGGUCCAAGCCACUUCCAAACCCCAGGGCUAGUUCUCUGUAUCUGAGGCAGCAUAGGACAGGUACAAUCAGAAGGCACCUGCAAUUCCACCUUAAAAGGUUUUCCUUUCAGACAGAUUGAGAGAGAGAGAAAAUUGAACACAGAACAUUUGAUUCUUCUCAUCACCACUUUGCUCCUCUUCUUCUGUGCUUCGCUUUGUCAAUAUCUUUCCCAUUAGUUACUCUAACCAUCAGCACUGAGGAAUCUGUCUGUAACAUCCCAGACAUCAUCAUCUCAGUGAAGGCUGUUGCAGGACAAUCACCUCACUUCUGGAUGUACUACCUUAUGUAUCUGUAAUUAGGCUGAAUUUGUCUUUUAGCAUCUUCCUGUGUUAUUUACUCAUACCGAGCACAUUAUCCAUUAACUUCCUGUACUGAUUUCACAUGUAGUGAUUUUACAACAAAACCAGCUCAGCCUAAGUCUGUGCAGGUUUUUAUAAAUGUGUACCUGAGAGGAAAGCUUUACCUUUAGGCCUACUGAAUUUCAACCUUUUGGAUUGGGAAUACUGGCAAGGUGGCUCUGAGUUCUUACUUCUUAUUCUGUCAUCCAAAGAAUUGCAAUCUCAGCAUAGAUGUCACUGAUUUGCAUGUGAAUAUUAGUCUCUUUGACAGAGAAACUCAAGUGGGAGGUAAGUUGUGUGUUCUUGCUAACAGCAACAACAUCUCUGACGGCAGCUACUAUGUUCUGAAGGUUUGUGUCGUCUCAAAACUCAUAUGUUGAAAUCCUAAACCCCAAGUUGAUGGUAUGAGGAUGUGGGGCCUUUGGAAGAUGAUUAGGUCAUAAAGGCAGAGUCCUCAUCAUUGGGCCUAGUGCCCUUAUAAAAGAGGCCCAGAGAGCUCCCUAGCCCCUUCUACCAUGUGAGGACAUAGCAAGAAGGUGCCAGCAAUGAACAGGAAGAGGGCUCUCGCCAGAACACGAAUGUGCCAGUGCCUUGAUCUUGGACUUCCCAGCCUUCAAAACUGAAGAAGCAAAACCCAAAUCCAGAAGCAAUCAGAAGUGAUGGAUUACUGAUCACUAUAAACAAACACCAAUGGAGCCAGUGUGCAGUGAUGAGGCACUAAUUUCUGUGCAGAGCAAGAAGCUAUGAGCAUAGGGGCACUCAGGUGAGCAAACUGAAACAGAGGGAGAUUAAGUUUCACAGAUGCUGCUCCCAGCAAUGCCACUUGGAGAGGCCACGGCGCACUCAACAGACCUUGGUGAUCGCGAGAUGAAGAAGGAGGUGGCUGUGAUGACAUUUAUUGGCCUCUCCAAGAACUUUUAAACGUUCUGCUUGCAAAUCCCUAUAGUAUAACAUGACAGGACUUAUCUCCCACUGUCAGGGUCUGCUCCUGGAACACGAAACAUGCCUUUUCCACAGAUACUAGGAAGGCUUAAGAAACUCGAGGAAAAACAAAAGGGUGGGUGGCGUUAGACCAAACACACAUAGCUAGAUCCAUGCCUGGGGGCCUUGGCACACAACGAACAGAUCCAUCUUCAUUCAGCUCGUGAAGGGGCCCAGGAAACUGAGCUAGACCUGAGCUUGGACACGGUGGAAUUUCUUAUAGUGCUGGGACUUAGCAACAAUCCCAGCAAUGCUGACACUUAGCCUGGAAUGACCACCCAUGCAAAGUUCUCGCAGCUUCCAAUCUGCUCUUCUGCACUCUGCCUGUGAUGCUGCUGCUGGGCCUCAAGAAGCCACGUUUCUGCUUUAUCAGCUCAUUGCAGCAGACCCUGCCCAUGGGGAAAUCCAGAGGGACACUGGAAGGCUGGAGGGGAAGGAGCUGUUCCUUUCUGCUUCCGUCCUGUUCCAGUUGAUGGGGCUUCACCCUGGCAGGAGCAUUUGGCUCCACUUUGCAGGUUUUCCCUCCCAUUCACCCAGCUUCACUGCACCCCUUUGAGAUACCAACACCAACCAGCUGGCCGCACUCCCCACAGGUCUGGGUCCCAGAUGACAGGGGCCUCCUCCGACCUCAUGAGCCCUCAUUAGCAGCCCUGCUCUGCGAGCCCAGUUCCGUGGCCUCCUCCGCCAAGCUUCUGAAUUCCCAUCCUAGUCUCUUCUCCUAUUUCUCUCAGCCCGGAGGUGGUAGCUAAUUUCUUUUAUUAUGACUCCAGGGUCCGUUUUUUUCCCCAACUCUCUGAUGAAACAAUUAUUUUAUAUUAAAUUAUCUCUGUUGAAAUAAUUACGUGAUUUCUAUUUUCUUGACUGGGCCCUAAGUGAUACAAUUUGUUACUUGUAAGGGAGUUACACAGGCUUUUCCAAUAUUGUUCAUGUUAUGUUUACAUUUUGGAAGAUGUAUUCAUGUGCUAAAAAUCUAUGGAUAAUUUGCAUUUUUAAAAAGAAUGUGACAGAUCAAUAUUACUGUCCUGAAAGAUGUUCAUGCUAUAUUGAGUGAUAAAAGCAAAGGCUUUUAUAAGUGGCAAGCAUGUGUCUUAUAAUUUGAGAAAAAUAAAGGAAAUGGUUAAGAAGUAUAAAAUAAGACGAUAGUGUGAUCUCUGAGAGAAAACUUUAUUAUCCCUGUUAGCAUAACUCUUAAAAUAUCUUUAACAUAUGUAACCAGGACAGUCUGACUUUUUCUGCCCAUAUUUAGCUGGGAUUGCAAUAACUAUAAAACAAGAUGCAUUUUUUUUGAUGCUUCUGCCACAAUUUGAAACCCAAAACAUUUAUAUAAUAUGCGUAAUUCAAAGGCAUAUAUGCUACUGCAUCUAAAAUUUAACUUUUUAGCUAAAUAUAGCUAAAACCAACUCACAUGAAAGUCCACAGCUGGGAAGAAGAAUUAGCAAAAACUUUAAUUAUGGCCUCAUUUACACUUCUAUUUUCAAGCCCAUUCAUGAAUUAAUUUUAACUCUGCGCCUCUGCCUUCCAUCAUGCUGUAAGUACCUGUCAGAAAAUGACAGUGUUUGAGUAUCCGCACAUAUGUUUGAGAUUUCUACACCUUGAUUCCUUUGUCAAAAUUUCCACUUACAGCUGUGUGAGUGAGGCUCUAUGGCAGAGGCAAAACGGUUGGUCUCUGAAUGUGGCCAAAAUUCCAUACCCGGAGAAUGUUCAUUUAAUGUAUAAGCCAAAAUAAAACUCCUGAUUAAGACAGCUGACCUUCAACACAUGAUAAGGCAGGAAGGGAGCAUGACAGAAGGAAGCAAGUGCUGAACAAGAACUUCAGCGAACCUGAGCUCACGGUCACAUUCCCUAGUGUAACCUUGGGCUAAUCUUAUUCUGUAAAAUGGGCACUGGACUAGUGGGACUUUGUUGUCCCUAUGCAGCUUUCCAUUAUAAAAAGAUCUCUCACCUGCAACAUCUUAAAGUAACUCAGGUGAAGGCAGCGAUUGCCACAAUUUUAGAUGGCAUAGCCAUAUCAGCAAAAAAAGUUCAAUAUGCAAUGCCCAUAUAUAAAUAUUUAUUCAUAAAUUAGAUAUGGAUGCUGUUGUAUUAAUUAUUACUAGUACUGGGUAUCUUCGAAGACAGUGAAUAUCAGCCAGCAUCCUCUCUCCUUCACUUGCAGCCACACCAACCUCCUUGCUGACCCUUGACCUUGCCAAGCAUGUUCCCAGCUCACGGUCUCUGCACCUGAUGCCUCUCCUUCAGCUAGCCACUCUGUUCACACCCUCACUACUUCAGGUCUUUGCUCAAAAGCCACUUUCUCAGAAGGCCUUCCCUGACUGCCCUAUGGAAGAUUACAAUCUUUCCCAGUGCUGCCGCUUGUAGAGUACUGGGACUGGGUGUUCUCCAUUUACCCUGGGGAUACCUCCUCCCCCAUCUCUACCCUUUUCUAUACCCUAGGAGGCUGUCCUGCAUGGAUUACAUGCACUGGGCUCCUUUGUGCUCUGGCUUUCAGUUGAGUUUGGCCAAUGGGAGGCACAAGCAGGGGACGGGAUGGUGAGAGGAGAGAGAAGCCUGGGCGUUUAUUCCCUCCGCAACUAUCAGUGUAGGCCCAGAGGCUGGAAAUAACUGCUGUCGUCUCCCAGGGCCACCUCUCCUGUUGGGUGCCCUCCUACAUCCACAGCUGCUGCUCUCUCUUGAUUUGGGUCACUGCUCCCUCCCCUGGAGGAGAGAGCUCCCCACUAUUGGUAGCCCCUAGGGUGUUUCACCAUUCCUUGUUGGUUUCUCUUAAACUCUACCUGGCCCUCUAUAAAUACUGUGCCAACUGUUUCUUUCCAGGACCCUGACUAACAACGUUUAUAUUGUGAUAUAUGUUGAUAAUCUGAUAUUUAUCUUAUAUAUAAUGUUAUAUAUAUUGAUAAUCUGUUUCCUCUCAUUGGAAUGUAAAAUUCCUGAGGGUACAGACUUUUCCAUCUGUUUCUAUUGUUGUUGUUUUUCACUGCUAUAUCCUCAGUUCCAAGCACAUAGUAGGCACUCAAGUAGUUGCCAAUUAAAGAGAUGAAUCUUUUCCUCCUGGAUCCCUAUAGAUUGUCUUGCAUAUUCCAUUUUGGAAAUCAUCAGCUUAAGGAAUAAAUAUAUCUAUCAUUUGCCUGAUUUUACUAACUCUUGGACUAAUUUAGCCUACUCCUCAUCUAAUAUGGAGCUCUGAUUAUUUUUAAAUCAUAAGAAAUGUAAUUUAGUAUCACAUCCUCUUGGAAGAUCAUACUUGCCUCCCACAAGAUUCCUCUAACAAUGGCCCGAACAGAUAUUGAGCCAAUCAUGAGAAAGACUUUAUUAGUUCACCUUUUGGUGCUGUCUUUAACAGUUUUGUCCUUCUCCCUUCUGAUUUCUGCUUUAAGAUCUUGUCUUCCUUUCUUCUAAUAAGGAAGAUAAAAAACCACCCAAGGAAAUAUAGACUUGGCUGGCCCUCUUCAUCCCUAUUCAUGACAGGAGAAAAUCACUCAAUGUCUUGUCCCCCAGCUCAAUUAUUUAAUUCAUAUACAACGCUCCAUUAUUUAAUAACUUAUAAUUUCUAGGGCUCAGUUGCCCAGAACAGACUUAACAGUUGUCUCUAGUAAAAACAUCCCUUAGAGCAGAAUAGCUAAUUAAACAGAAAGUGAAUUUUUUUUUAAUCAGAAACACAUACAAAUCCUUUUUGUCCUUCAACGUGAACAUUUAGUUGAUUGCUUCUCACUGAAUUACCUUAUGCCUAUUAAACAUGACCAGCACUUUACUUUUGGAUAAACCAGAUCAUUUUUCACAUGCCUGAGUGAAUUCUCCCCGCAUUAAUCGAUAAACACAGCUGGGUUCUAAGCAUAGCUACUGUACUGAACAGAACCUGAUCUUCAAGACAAGCCCACAGAACCUGCUGAGCUUGCUUUGGGAGGGAGAACAUUAGUGGCAAGAAACUGCUGAAUCCUGCAUCCAGGAGGAAAGAUUCUGUAAACACAGUAACUUCCACGUGCAAGUGGCUCCAUUUUUAAAUGCCGUGCUCCUCUCUGGCUAUAUAAAGAGGCAUGAGUAAGAGUUUUCUCACGUGGUUUUAAGUUUCUUGAGCUGCAAGUCAAAACAUUGUGAUGUUCAAACAGUCUUUGGGGAGAAGAGGAAAUUAACUGCCAAAGUUAUUAAAAUGGAACUCUGCUUUCUAUUACAACUAAAAUGGAUUAGCUUGCACAAAGAGUUAUGUACAAAGUAAGAUAUAAUUUUCUUUACUUGAACUGGAACAACAUUUAUAUUUUCCCACUGUUGGCAGUGCUUUGACUCUCCAACAUUAUGUUAGUUUUCUAGGUCAGCUCUAACAAGUACCACAAACUGGGGGGCUUGAACAACAGAAUUUAUUGUCUCACAGUUCUGGAGGCUGGAAGCCCAAGAUCAAGGUGUCAGCAGGGGUGGUUCCUUCAAAGGACUACGGAGGAGAAUCUGUUCCUUGUCUCCCUCUUAGCUUCUGGUGGUUUUCUGAUGUCUUUAGUGUUCGUUGGUUUCUCUGCAUCAUCUCUAGCUCUGCCUUCAUCUUCACAGAACGUUCUCCUGGUGUGCAUGUCCAUGUCCAAAUUUCCCCUUUUAUAAGGACACCAGUCCUAUUAGCCUAGAGGCCCGCUCUACUCCAGUAUGACCUCAUGCUAAUUUAACUAAGUACACGUGCAAUGACUCCAUUUCCAAAUAACAUCACAAUCUGAGGUUAGGACUUCAACAUGAGAUUUUUUUUUUUAUGGGGGAAUCACAAUUCAACCCAUAACAAAUGGUAAAAAUUUUUAAAAAUUAGGUCUCAAGGAGAUGCUAAGAGACCAUUUUGUUCAACUCCUUUAUUUUUUAGUGAGAAAUAGAAAGAUAAAGUGACUUGUCCAGGGUUUCCUGGCAGAGUUAGUAACACAGACCCAGAACACAGGACUUCUGGCUCUGGUUCUGGUGCUUUCCAAGCACACGACACUGCCUUUAGUUGUAUUCUUCCUGAAGCUGAGACUCAUUGGCAUUUACAGAGGGGGGAGCAGCAAUAAUGACCUGUCUUAUCUGGAAAACCUGCCCAAAGGCUGAAGUGCAUGUCUACACCAGCCUGCUUCGUGAGGCUCAUCCCCAAUAGGUGAAUCAAGAAAGAGAAAGCUAGCUGUGAGUAUUGAAAAAUAAACCUAAUUGGAGCACUGCACACAGUACCUGGCAUGUGUGCUACACUCCAAGAAAGUCUGAAUCAAUAACUUAAACAAAUUUUAGUAGUGAAAAGAAUUUCUCACAUGCGUUUAGAGCUUCUUUCACAUAAAGUGUUAUCAAAUUCAUUAUCUCAUUUGUUCCCUGCUAACUCUUGAGAGAUAAGCAUUAUCGCUAUUUGACAGAAAGAGAAACUGAGGUUGGAAGAUAAGCGCUCUUUUUAACUCAAGUGUGACAGGCAGCCUGACUUGAUAAAGCUUUCACGUUCUUGCAAGUUUGGAUUCAAAUUCCAGUGUUCUCUUUACUGAAUUCUUGUCUUUGUGAGCAAAACUAAAUUAAAAUUUUUUGAAGUACAUAAACUUCUUAGCAUUUACCUUCAAUUUUUUUCAACUUUGUUCCCUCCAAGUGUAAAUUUGGAAGAACUUCUCACAGGUCAACACUUUUUCUCUAAUAGCUCCUCCAAGUGCUUGCAUGCACUGCUUAGCACUCAGCAGAUGGUCACAAUAUAUGAGUAAAUGAUGAAAGUCCCUCUUCAGACCUUAAGGUGUCACAGAGUCACACAAACUUAGGAUUUGAAAUGGCUUAGAGGGUUUCUAAAUAAUGUUCUCUGUCUUAGAGAUAAGGAAGCUAAGGUCUUAGGCCUUAGAGCAAGUUAAAAACCCGGUAUCCUGACUCUCAGCCCAGAGUUCCGAGGAUUGCAGGAGCUGGCACCAUUUCAAUAAGAGACUGAUCAGCUGGAAGAAAGUCCUGAUCAGACGGCUUUUAUCCCACUUUCUCUGAAGAAAGGUCAUUAAAGAUGCACGGGAGAGACUGCAAAAGAGUACAAUACUGUGCAACAGUGAUAUUCAAAAUGAUUAAAUUGGUGGCCCCAGUGCCCUUUGCAGGCACAAAGCAGCUCCUUUGUAAGGGAAUGAAAAGAGGUCACAUGUCGCGGGAAGAGGCUUCUUUCUAUAGAGACCCCAUUACCGCUCCGGAGGAAAGAACAUCAAUUCCUUCCAGGGAGUCUGUGUAAAAGAUAAUGUAUGCUUCUUUUCUGGCUGUCAAGAUUCACAAAAGAGAUAGGAAGUUUGAGGCUCUAUUACUGAUGACCUUCCCACAGAACAUGCCGCAUCUCGUUUUUAAAAAUAGCCUCUCUCCUGGGUGGAAUAUUUGAUGGUCUUCAUAAAGAAACUGAAAGCUUUGGCAGAAGUCUUGAAAAAGACAAAGAGUGGAAAAGAGAGAGGCAAAGAAGCAGGUCUCAUUGGUCCUGGAUCUUUCUGGACCUCAAAGGGGUCAUCUCUCUGACCUUAGGGUCUCAUCACCUCUAAGUGGUUUUCUUGAUGGCCUCAACACUUCUCGGCCAUUCUCCAUGCUGCUGAACAGGUGGGUUGUGUCAUCACCCAUGGAAACCUUGGUCAUCUCCACAGUAUAAAGUCCACCUUCCUAAGCACAGCAUGCCAGGUCCUCCUCAGAAACCCAGUUUUGGCUCCAUCUCAUUUCCUCCUCCACUGCUCCAGGUAACUCAUGUUUCAGCCACAUCUGGCCACUUGUUACUCCUCAGACAUGUCACUUGUUGCCACUGCCUGGGCAUGCCCUUUGUUCUUUCCUUCAUUAAUCAAAAUUCUCCCUGAGAAUCAAGGCUCAGCUUGGACGCUCCCUUCUCUGAGAAAUCUUUCGGACACAAUGAAUCACUCCCCGACCUGAGCUCUUUCUCUGGGGCUCGGUUCAGAGCCUCCUAUUUUAGGCUCUGAUUCUUUUGAUUAGACCUAAAGACAGAGCCGUUGUAAACCAAUUCCAGAUCUAAUACGUUUUUUAAAACUUUUUCUUUUGCACUAAUUUUACAAUUACAGAAAAGCUGCUGAGAUGUACAGCGAGCUCCCACCUAAUAACUUUUAGAAUCAUAAAGUAUUUUAGAGAAACUUAUAAAGGAUGAUAUUACAAACACCUACAUACUCACCUCCCAUCUUUACCAAAUCUCAACAUUUUGCCGUUUGGCUGCAGAUUUUUAUUAAACACAUAAAACAUUACUGCUGUUUUUAAAGUCCUCCAUGGACUUCUCCGGAUCCCAAUCUCUCUUCCUCCUCAAAAUUUAUCAUGCUCUUUAUUUGGCAUUUAUGACUAAUUUGCAUGUGUUUAUACAUUUACUACAUAUGCAUGUUUCCCAGAAAUUAAAUAUGAUUGUUUUGUAUAUUGUCAAACUUUAUACAUAUAGCACCAUUUGCUAUAUAUCACACAGUUCUGCUUAUUUUGCUUUUUCACUUAACACGUGUUUGUGAUUCUGUAGAUCUAGUUCAUUCACUUAAUCUUCCGUAUAGUAUUUUAUUACACGAAUACACAAUCAUUUAUUCAAUUCAAUUGCUAGACAUUUCAGUUUCUCAUUUGUUUUUUAAGGUGGACAAGGAGUAACAUACUCAAUGCACAUUGCAGCACUGGUUUUAACAGCAAAACCAGGAAGUGGGUCUGAACUGAUCCAUUAACUCCUGAGCUUUCCCAUUCUAGCGCACCAUUCAAGCUCUUAUGGAACAAAAACAUUAGAGACAUCAAAAUAAUAUUUUUGGCCGCGAUGAGAUGUUUCUUAUUCCUUUCAGUUCAGCAAAAAAUCCUUUUCUUCUUUAAAUAACUAAAAAAGCAGGGGGGAAUCCAUCAGCAUUUUCUAGGGAAAUACAUAUCUAACAGAGGCCCCUUUAGACUCUGCCAAGCUCUUUCAAACCUGAAGAAUGGAGGCAGGAGAUAUUGUUUGUACUUAUUGUACAGAAUGGUAGAAUUAAAUCCAAAGGGUGAGUGGAGUCUUGUCUCUCUAAAUUCUGGUUUCCUGUCUCAGCACUGGCCCAGAUUGCCUUAAUUGUCCCUUGAAAUAAUAAACUCUUAAAAAAACAAAGCCAGGCUACACAAGACAUGAUCGUUUUCCCCCAAACAGUUUUAAAAUAUGCCUGUAAAUAAUUCUACAGAAAAGAGACGAGUAGACCCAAUCAACUGUUUUGUGAGCUAAUUAAAGCAGAACUUGGAUUUUAUUUCUUAAUGAUUUUAUACAAAUUGGAAGGAAGGUGAGAAAUGCUAUUUCCUGUUCGGGCAGGAAAAUAGAUGCCUUGUAUCAACUCGGAGUUCCCCGGUCGCACUGGGACAUUUACACUGGGAACUUUUUCUUUCUGGUUAUUAUGAGAGUACCUAAUGCCAUAGAUAAGGUGGUAGGAUUGGGGAUAUUGGGUGAAUAAGAUAGUGUCUGCUCUGAGGAAGCUACCAGCCACUCCCUGAAUAUGUGAAAACUAUUUUUUUAAAGCUUCAGUGCGUGGUUGUGUAUCCUAGUUGUUAGCUUUUAGUUCUUCACGUGAGCUGCUGCCACAGUAUGACAACUGACAGAUGGGUGGUGUGGUUCCGCAACUACAAAAUAAACUGAGGCCAUGGUGGUGAAAGCACCAAAUCUUAACCACCAGACCACCAGGGCUGGCUCAUGCAAACACAAUUUUAAAAGAAGAGACAGACAGAGAAAGAGAGAGAGAGAGAGCAUGGUUCUCUGGGGGAAGGCAGGAGAUUGGGAAUGCUGAAAAACAGGAUAGGAAGAUGCGAGCAAAGAUGGAGUAGUACCAACUACCACUGCCCCCAAGGAACACCUGCAAAUAACACAUCUGCUUGGAUCCAAGUACCGGUUUCCAUUGUUUGGUCAUUUCCAACACUGCCCAAACCAUGACAUAUGAGAAAUAAUACAAAGUAGUCCAAGAGAAUAAAAGCAAACUGGAGUGCACUGCACACCAGCUAUGUUGAACUAUUUUCUCUUCUCCAAGAGGGCCAUGAAUUUUGGAGCCUCCAAGUCUUUGCUUAUACUCCUACUUUGGAUGACAUUCUCUGUGUCCUCCAUGUCUCUCUGUCCUCAUGUGUCUUUAAAGCUCAUAGAAAGCAUCACCUCUCUAGGAAAUCCUCCUCACUCCCCUCUGGAGGGGGAAUCAUCCCUGUGUGUGCUCCCAGAGAAGGCUACCUCUGCCUCUGUAAAGUACAGCACUCAGCACGGUCUGACAAAUAGCCUCGUAAACGGUGCCUGCCUCCAUAUCCUCCACUCCUAGAAGAUAGAGAUUCGUCUAAUUCAUCUUUUUGGUCCCCUUAGCACCUGGCAUAGUGCCAACAUGUAGUAAGUGUUCAAUGUGAAGUUUAGUAAAUGACUUGCAUAGCUGAAAAGGAAACGUAGCAUUGGGAAUUAGAGUAAUCAACAGAUCGAGUAGUGUAAUUGCCUUAAACUUCACGUGGAUAGGAUUCCUCUCAAAAUAGCUGUGAUUUUUUUUUUCUUUUUUAUAAUUGGCAUUAAUUCCCUUAGCUCUACCUAGAAGUCCUAGGUUCAGUUCCUGGGGCAAGAAACCAAGUGGUGUAUAUUUGUGUGGGUGUAUGACGGCAUUCCUCAUGGAGCUCUUUCACAGAUUGUGUUCAAAGUAGGCCAUUUCCUGCUGGAUUUCUCGCCUUUCCUAGAUCGCAUAUGGUGAAAUGUUUACUUUUAUUAAAGUAAAUAGUCCAAAAGUAUGCCCAGAAAAGAAAAUUUAAAAGGCAAGGAGAAAAACACUAGACAUAGAGUUUAAAAGGGUAUAUUAUUUCCCCGUCAACCUCAUGGUUUAUUAUAUUUCUUGAAACAAUUGUGAAUGGCUUCUCCUUCAGUAAUGUUUGGGUUUGUUCUUUUUUCUAUUUUCUCUAUAAAAUUUAUAGGAAAAGAGAAACAUACCUUAGCAAGGAAGGCUGAGAAGAAUUAUUUUAAAACUCAAACAUAUCAGGCCAAUAUAUUCAUAAUAUAAAAACAAAGCAAAGCAAACAAAUAGAUGGAGCAAAAAUAAAACAAAAUAAGAAAUAAAUGAAAGUACCAAUAGAAGGAAAAGUAACACGUAAUUUUGUUUAGUUCCAGUUCCGGCUAUGACACAGUAAUAAGCAUACACUACUCCACAUCUCCCAUUGAGCGCCACUAAAAACAUAAAGACAUCUAUCUGAGGACUCAGAAAAGUAAAUAAUAGCAGAUGUUUUGGGAAAGAAAUCAAAAUUGAAAGUACGACCAAUAUGGCAGUGAGUUAACCGAUAUUUUCUUUUUUUUCCUAAUUUCUCAGCUUGGAUUCCAGGGCAUCCCAAACCCCAGAACUGCACAUCACACAGGGAGGAACAGCUCCAAGAGAAACUUACUACCUGUUUUCCUGACCACAGGACAGGGAAGGAAGAGUAUGUGGGAUGGAGAUAGUAGAGAGAAAGCUCUUCCUAUGUUUGUUUUUUAUUGUUGUGCUUACCUGACUCAGUCCCAGACAAGCCCCAGUCACAAGGCUGCACACUAAUAGAUGCAGCAACUAUGCAUAUACCUAAAAGACUGAGAGAAAUUCUUUCUCUUUGAGCAGAGAAACUGGAAAACUGGGUCCCCGUGGUCCAAAGAGAAUGUGUGGAGAGAGGAAAUCGUCAUUAAUUUUCUUCCUCCCUUCUCUCUCGUUGCUUUGCCCUCAAGGUGAACCAAGUUAUAGGAAGUGUGAAAUGGCACAGGGAAUCUAAAAUCCUGACUUUUAAGUCAGAAGACCUAAGAAAGGGACUCCUGGGGACUGGAAAGAGGAGAGGAGUCAGGGAGAGGAAAGUGGGAGAGAAAAAGAGCCCCUAAAUGUAGUAUGAAGUCCUAGGCUCACCCCUGAGUUGCACAUGCAGUGAAUUACCUGAGGUAGCAUAGCAAAUGCUUCAAGAACUGAACUAAAGCAUAAAACAAAGACUGGGUUGACCUCAAGGUGAUGUCCAUGUGGAGCAGACAGAUUAGCACCACAAAUGCUUUUAAAAGUAAACUGACAUCGGAACCACAGCCUACAAAAGGCAGGUUGUGACUUGAGGCAAGAACCACACCAAGUUGAUUAUCUGCUAACACAAACAAAAAACAAAAGCAAACAAAAGGAAAACAUUCUCUGGAGGAUUUUAACAGGAGUAGAGUCACAAACAUAAUUCUCAAAAUCUCUAUGAUACAAUCCAAAAUCACCAGACAUAAAAAAGAACCAGGAAAAUCUCAAUAACUCUGCAGAGAAAAGACAAUCAACUGACAUCAACUCCUAAGAUGACCCAUAUGUGGAAAUUACUAGACAAAACUUGAAAAGUAGGAUUUUAACUAUGCUCCAUGAACAGAAAAAAGAAUCUUUUGAAAUGAACAGAAAUGAAAAAUACGAUAACUGAAAAAAUUUACUGUGUAAGCUCAAUAGCAGAGUGGAAAUGGCAGAAAAAAGAGUCAUUGCACUUGAAAAUAGAUCAAUAGAAAUGAUCCUUUCUGAACAAAACAAACAAAAAAAUUUAAAAAAAUAUAAGCAGAGCCUCGGGGACCUGUGGGACAGGUCUUGCAUUUGUGUCACUAGAAUCUGAGAAGGAGAGAAAAAAAGAGAUCAGCGCAGAAAAAAUAUAGCUGAAAACUUCUCAAAUUUGUGAAAGCCAUAAAUGUACAGAUUUAAGAGGCUGAGAGAACCCCAAAACAGAAAAAAAAAUCAUGCAGAGACCAUCAUAAUGCAACCACUGAAAUCCAAAGAUGAAGAAAAAAUUUCGAAAGCACCAAGUAAAAACGCAACAUUUUACAUAUAGGAGAACAAUUUAAAUGACAGCGUAUUUCAAUGGACAUCCUGGAAGUCAGAGGACAGUAUAAUAAUCUAUUUAAAGUGCCAAAAGCAAAGAACUCUUAAUUCAGAAUUCUAUAUCCACCUAAAACAUCCUUCAGGCAAAAUGGUGAAAUAAAGACAUUCUUGGUGAAAAAAAACAAGCUAAUAGAAUUCCUACAGCAGAUCUGCUCUAAAAGAAAUGAUAAAAAAAGUUCUUCGGGCAGAAGAGAAAUGAUACUAAAAGGAAACCUGGAACCUCGGGAAUAAAAGAAGAGGAGAAGAGAAAUGGUAACUACCUGGAUAAAUAAAAACAGCUGUUUUCUUCUUCCUCUUAAGUUUUUUGAAAUAUGUAGGACUGUUGAAGGUAAAAAUUAUAACACUGUCUGAUGGGGCUUUCAACUUUUUAUAGAAUUAAUACAUUAAAUAACUAUAGCAUAAAGGAGGGAGCAUAAAGGAACCUACAUGAUUAUAAUGUUUCUAUAUUUUUCUUUAAGUGCUAAAAUAUGAACUGCCUGUAGAUUGUGAAAAGAUAGGUAUGUAUAUUUUAAUCAUUUGAGCAACUAAUAGAAAACUAUAAAAAGAGACACAGUCAAAAAAUUGAUAAAUUAAAAUUGAACACUAAAUACUAUUCAAAUAAUCAAAAGGAGACAGAAAAGGGGAAAUAGAAGAAUGAAAAACAGAGCAAACAAAUAGAAAAACAAUAAAAUAAUAGACCAAAAUCUAUCUAUAUCAAUAAUUAUAUUAAAGUAAAUGUUCUAGGCAAACUAAAGGAGAUCAUCAGAUUUGAGAAAAAAUUAAGACUACUACAUGCUGUCUACAAGAAAGCCACUUUAAAUAUAAUGAU